UGGGGAAUAUUGCGCAAUGGGCGAAAGCCUGACGCAGCGACGCCGCGUGGGGGAUGAAGGCCUUCGGGUUGUAAACCUCUUUCAGCAGGGAAGAAGCGAAAGUGACGGUACCUGCAGAAGAAGCACCGGCUAACUACGUGCCAGCAGCCGCGGUAAUACGUAGGGUGCAAGCGUUGUCCGGAAUUAUUGGGCGUAAAGAGCUCGUAGGCGGUUUGUCGCGUCUGCUGUGAAAACUCGGGGCUUAACUCCGGGCUUGCAGUGGGUACGGGCAGACUAGAGUGUGGUAGGGGAGACUGGAAUUCCUGGUGUAGCGGUGAAAUGCGCAGAUAUCAGGAGGAACACCGGUGGCGAAGGCGGGUCUCUGGGCCAUAACUGACGCUGAGGAGCGAAAGCGUGGGGAGCGAACA
rnacentral:rRNA from 1 species